UACGUAGGGUCCAAGCGUUGUCCGGAUUUAUUGGGCGUAAAGAGCUCGUAGGCGGCUCAGUAAGUCGGAUGUGAAAACUCGGGGCUCAACCCCGAGACGCCAUCCGAUACUGCUGUGGCUUGAGUCUGGUAGGGGAGCACGGAAUUCCUGGUGUAGCGGUGAAAUGCGCAGAUAUCAGGAAGAACACCCGUGGCGAAGGCGGCUCUCUGGAACGCAACUGACGCUGAGACGCGAAAGCGUGGGGAGCAAACAGG
rnacentral:rRNA from 1 species